rnacentral:rRNA from 1 species
GACGAACGCUGGCGGCGUGCCUAAUACAUGCAAGUUGAGCGCUGAAGGUUGGUACUUGUACCGACUGGAUGAGCAGCGAACGGGUGAGUAACGCGUGGGAAUCUGCCUUUGAGCGGGGGACAACAUUUGGAAACGAAUGCUAAUACCGCAUAAAAACUUUAAACACAAGUUUUAAGUUUGAAAGAUGCAAUUGCAUCACUCAAAGAUGAUCCCGCGUUGUAUUAGCUAGUUGGUGAGGUAAAGGCUCACCAAGGCGAUGAUACAUAGCCGACCUGAGAGGGUGAUCGGCCACAUUGGGACUGAGACACGGCCCAAACUCCUACGGGAGGCAGCAGUAGGGAAUCUUCGGCAAUGGACGAAAGUCUGACCGAGCAACGCCGCGUGAGUGAAGAAGGUUUUCGGAUCGUAAAACUCUGUUGGUAGAGAAGAACGUUGGUGAGAGUGGAAAGCUCAUCAAGUGACGGUAACUACCCAGAAAGGGACGGCUAACUACGUG